CGUCAGGAAGUUACCCUAUAUGGUCUAAAAAGGGGAGGCAUGAAUAAUACACUCUUGUUUAGCAUAUCAUCAAAAAGUAACCAUAAAAACGGGCCAUCAGCAGCCCUCAGGCCUGCUCUGUCUACGGAGUAGCCAUGCUUUUAUUCCUUUACUUUCCUAACAACAUUUAUUUCCCUUUAUGUACUCGCCCUGAUUCUUUCUUGUGCGAGAUCUAAGAACCCUCUCUUGGGGUCUUGAUCGGGACCCCUUUCUUGUAACACAACUCCUUUUUUUGGAGUUUUACUUGCUUCCAACAAGGAAGGCAAGUUUUCCUGCUUCCAUGACGGUGGAAGGCAGAUAACUCCUUUCCGGAGUUCGAGCCUGCUUUCAACAGGGAAGGCAAAUUUGAGUUUUCCCCUGCUUCUAGAAUGGAAGAUGGCAGUCUUCAGCCUGAGACCCAUUCCUAGCAUUGGGCACAUUCACAUUCUUCUGCAACCAUCGCCAGCAUCCGUCGGCAGAACCUUCUCAUCUUCCCAAACGGAGACUCUGCCCCAGGAAGCACUCGCUCCGCAUUUGCUCCCAGCCCCCAGGCCUCCAUUCCACUUUGUCUCUGUGCGCUGGGCUCCCCUGUCACCUCCCCACGUGGGUGGGCAUCUCUGCGUGUCUUCAGCGUGUGUCCUUCCGUGUCUCACGUGCUCCACUCACCACAGUGUCCUCAAGCUCCCUCCUGUUGCAGCGUGUGCCAGGAUUUCCCUUCCUUUCAAAGGCGGGAUGGUAUUCCAUUGUAUUCAGUGUGUCCUCCAGGGUCUCGCCAAAAAUAUAAA
rnacentral:lncRNA from 10 species